rnacentral:rRNA from 1 species
CCUACGGGAGGCAGCAGUGGGGAAUUUUGGACAAUGGGGGCAACCCUGAUCCAGCCAUGCCGCGUGAGUGAAGAAGGCCUUCGGGUUGUAAAGCUCUUUCGGCCGGGAAAAAAUCGCAUGGGUUAAUACCCUGUGUGGAUGAUGGUACCGGAAUAAGAAGCACCGGCUAACUACGUGCCAGCAGCCGCGGUAAUACGUAGGGUGCGAGCGUUAAUCGGAAUUACUGGGCGUAAAGCGUGCGCAGGCGGUUUGAUAAGACAGGCGUGAAAUCCCCGGGCUCAACCUGGGAACUGCGUUUGUGACUGUCUCACUAGAGUACGGCAGAGGGGGGUGGAAUUCCACGUGUAGCAGUGAAAUGCGUAGAGAUGUGGAGGAACACCAAUGGCGAAGGCAGCCCCCUGGGUCGAUACUGACGCUCAUGCACGAAAGCGUGGGUAGCAAACAGGAUUAGAUACCCUGGUAGUCCACGCCCUAAACGAUGUCACUAGGUGUUGGGUGGUAAAACCNUUUAGUACCGUAGCUAACGCGAGAAGUUGACCGCCUGGGGAGACGCGCGAGUAACGUACGUAAUAGAUUGAGNGUUGAGAGNGCGAGCGACGACGAGGAGAG